UGUCUGGUACUACUCUCUAGUAUAGUGUACAAUCUAUGGGUACUGCAGUGGUAAAAAUAUGAGUUUCGUAAUUGUGGAGAAAGAAGGACUCUAUUCUAUUGUUGUUAAACAUGGCAGAUAAAUAUAGAAAGUGUGUGAAGUGUGGUGUAUCUGCUGCGUAAGACCCACUUACUUUUCAUUCUUUCCCGAGAGCUGGAAAGGCAUCUAAUUUAGCAAGAUAGAGAACUUCAGUGUCUUCGCAAUCUUUUACACAAUAUCUGCCUAACUCGCCUCUAAAAGGUCAAACACUGCAAUUGGACAUUACUUUUGUGACUCAACCUGUCAAUUUGAAGAACACAAAAAAGGCAAAAAUUCUGCAGCAAGUAGAAAAUUGCUAUUAGACUCUCUCUCAAAGAGUGAGUACUUAGAAAAAUUAAAUGAAAAUUUAAAACCUGCAUUUGGUGUGCUUUUACAAAGCCAAAUGGUUAAUACACCUAGAAAAUUAAAUGGUCGUUGCUGGACUCUAAAUGAAAAAAUCAUAGCACUGGCUAUGUAUAAAAAAUCCAGUGCAUGCUAUAGAUUGCUCAGAAGAUUGUUUUGCUUGCCAAACCCUGGUACUUUAAAAAGUCUUUUAAAUUAAGUAAAUUUACCUUGUGGAAUUGACAGUAAAGUUAUGGCAAAUUUAAAGGAAAUUACACUAACACAGUCAAAAACUGAUAAUUUGUGUACAUUAAUGUUUGACGAGAUGGCAAUUCGAAAAAUAAUCGUAUGUUAUAUAAUCCAAGAACAGACAAGAUUGAAGGAUACCAGGAUCAUGGUUCCCAAGGUAGAAGCCAACAAAUAGCAUCACAUGCAUUGGUUUUUAUGUUGGUAGGAUUAAGAAAAAGGUGGAAGCAACCAAUAGCCCACUAUUUCUCAGGAGAAUCGGUAACAGCUGAUAGACUUCAAGCAAUUAUUAAAGAGGUAUUGUCAGAAUGUUACUUAAACAAUUUAAUAGUUGUAGCAACAGUGUGUGACAUGGAUGGAGUAAAUGUAAGAGCCAUAAAUUCCCUAGGGUCCACACUCAGUGGCGUGCCUAGGGUUUUGAGUUUUAGCAAGCCCAGUUACCUAAAGGACAAAUUUAACUCGUCAUGAUCUCUAAGUCACCAUUCUUGUUGUGAUAAAUGA